rnacentral:tRNA from 1 species
AGCUUUAUAGUCAAUAAUGAUAUUAGACUGCAAUUCUAAAGGAAUAAAUAAAUUUAUUAAGGCUU